rnacentral:rRNA from 1 species
GACGAACGCUGGCGGCGUGCUUAACACAUGCAAGUCGAACGGAGUGGCGAACGGGUGAGUAACACGUGGGUGACCUGCCCUGCACUUCGGGAUAAGCCUGGGAAACUGGGUCUAAUACCGGAUAGUGUGGGAUGGGCACGCGGCCUAUCAGCUUGUUGGUGUGGUAAGGGCCUACCACGGCGGCGACGGGUAGCCGGCCUGAGAUGGUGGACGGCCACAUUGGGCCUGAGGGACGAAGCAGACUCGUACGGGAGGCAGCAGUCGGGAAUAUUACGCAGUGAGCGGAAGCCUGAUGCAGCGACGCCGCGUGUGGAAUGACGGCCUUGGGGUUGUAAACGCCGUUCACCAUCGACGCGGUAGAUGGAGAAGAAGCACCGGCUAACUACGUGCCAGCCGCCGCGGUAAUAC